rnacentral:ncRNA from 1 species
UGACCUCAGAUCAGGCAAGGCUACCCGCUGAAUUUAAGCAUAUUAAUAAGCGGAGGAAAAGAAACUAACAAGGAUUCCCCUAGUAAUGGCGAAUGAAGCGGGAACAGCUCAAAUUUAAAAUCUCCGUUGCUUGCAACGGCGAAUUGUAGUUUCGAGAAGCACUUUCUCGGCGGAUCCGAGGUCGUCCAAGUUGCUUGGAACAGCACGUCGUAGAGGGUGACAACCCCGUCUGCGGCGAUCUCGGCCGUUCACGAUGUGCUUUCGACGAGUCGGGUUGUNUGGGAAUGCAGCCCAAAAUGGGUGGUAAACUCCAUCUAAAGCUAAAUAUUGGCACGAGACCGAUAGCGAACAAGUACCGUGAGGGAAAGAUGAAAAGCACUUUGAAAAGAGAGUUAAAAAGUACGUGAAACCGUUAAAAGGGAAACGAAUGGGGUUAGCAAUGCGGG